UGAACGCUGGCGGCACGCCUAACACAUGCAAGUCGAACGGAGUUUAAGAGAGCUUGCUCUUUAAACUUAGUGGCGGACGGGUGAGUAACACGUGAGCAACCUGCCUUUCAGAGAGGGAUAGCUUCUGGAAACGGAUGGUAAUACCUCAUAACAUAUUGAUACGGCAUCGUAUUGAUAUCAAAGAUUUUAUCGCUGAAAGAUGGGCUCGCGUCUGAUUAGCUGGUUGGUGAGGUAACGGCCCACCAAGGCAACGAUCAGUAGCCGGACUGAGAGGUUGAACGGCCACAUUGGGACUGAGACACGGCCCAGACUCCUACGGGAGGCAGCAGUGGGGAAUAUUGCACAAUGGGCGCAAGCCUGAAUGCAGCGAUGCCGCGUGAGGGAAGAAGGUUUUCGGAUUGUAAACCUCUGUCAUCGGGGACGAAAAUGACGGUACCCGAGAAGGAAGCUCCGGCUAACUACGUGCCAGCAGCUGC
rnacentral:rRNA from 1 species